CGGGGUGAGUAACGCGUAGGUAUCUGUCCAUGGGUGGGGGAUAACAGCGGGAAACUGUUGCUAAUACCGCAUGACACCUGAGGGUCAAAGGCGCAAGUCGCCUGUGGAGGAGCCUGCGUCCGAUUAGCUUGUUGGUGGGGUAAUGGCCUACCAAGGCGACGAUCGGUAGCUGGUCUGAGAGGAUGAUCAGCCACACUGGGACUGAGACACGGCCCAG
rnacentral:rRNA from 1 species